GAUGAAGAACGCAUCGAAAUGCGAUAAGUAGUGUGAAUUGCAGAAUUCAGUGAAUCAUCGAAUCUUUGAACGCACAUUGCGCCCCUUGGUAUUCCAUGGGGCAUGCCUGUUCGAGCGUCAUUUGUACCCUCAAGCUUUGCUUGGUGUUGGGUGUUUGUCCCGCGCUCUUUUGCGCAAGACUCGCCUUAAAUCAAUUGGCAGCCGGCAUGUUAGCCUGGAGCGCAGCACAUUUUGCGCCCCUUGCUUGCUUGUGUUGGCCCCCAUCAAGUCCAUAUAUUUGCUCUUGACCUCGGAUCAGGUAGGGAUACCCGCUGAACUUAAGCAUAUCAAUAAGCGGAGGA
rnacentral:misc_RNA from 1 species